rnacentral:rRNA from 1 species
UACGGAGGAUGCGAGCGUUAUCCGGAUUUAUUGGGUUUAAAGGGUGCGCAGGCGGCGUGUCAAGCAAGCGAUAAAAUAGCGGGGCUCAACCCCGUCGAGCCGUUUGAACUGGCGCGCUUGAGUUCAGGCGAGGUAGGCGGAAUUCGUGGUGUAGCGGUGAAAUGCAUAGAUAUCACGAAGAACUCCGAUUGCGAAGGCAGCCUACCAGUCUGCGACUGACGCUCAGGCACGAAAGUGUGGGUAUCGAACAGG